ACUAGGUCCCAGGCACAUUGCCAAGUGGCUUACAUAUUGUCUUCUCCUAUGAUAAGUAUUUUUAGUCCUUCUUUCAUAGAUGAGUAAAUUAAGGUACAGAGAUGACAAAUAAUUGGCCCAAAUCCAAUAGCCAAGAAGUCACAAAAUCAAGAUUCACAACAGUUCCCUUUGGGUCUGAUCCUAGAGUUGUACCCUUCCCCAUUCCAUGGCAUUAGGGAGGCGGAAGGGAACUCCCUUUCUGCUUCCUGGAAUCCAGGCUGGCUUGGUGACUUGCCGACCACAGAACGCUGUGGAAGGGACAUUCUGGGGCUUCCCAUCUCCAACAUAAGAAGGCAGGACUUGCUUCUGUGAGGUACUGAGCCACCCGUCCCUGGAGGAAAGCAAGAACAGAGCAGAUCAGAGCCCAGGCAGACAUCUUGGAUGAUGGGUGAGAUCUUCCUGGGGUUCUUGCUGUACCUGCUGACAAGGGGCAGCUCUCUCUAAAUGCCACGGAGCUGGAAGGCUGCAGCCUGGAACUUGCUGCAGCCCACCCAGGCAAGCAAGAGAUGACAUAGUUUCAGCACCUGGAUCUAUGGCACCCAGAAGCCAGAUCCAACCCCCCAGCCCUUAUCUUUGACCUUGAGCCAGUCUGAACUGGUAACUGGAAGUCACUUAUCUACCAGAUUCAACUAUCAGGAUGUUACUAAUAAAAAAUGACUCCAAAAAUGAAAA
rnacentral:lncRNA from 1 species